GCAAGUCGUACGAGAACGUUCCGCUUCGGUGGAAUUAGUAAAGUGGCGCACGGGUGCGUAACGCGUGGGUAAUCUACCCUUAAAUUUGGAAUAACUCCGCGAAAGCGGUGCUAAUACCGGAUAAUAUCUUUUAAUCCUUGGAUUUUUAGAUUAAAGGUGGCCUCUAUAUAUAAGCUAUCGUUUGAGGAGGAGCCCGCGUACCAUUAGCUUGUUGGUAGCGUAAUGGCCUACCAAGGCGACGAUGGUUAGCUGGUCUGAGAGGAUGAUC
rnacentral:rRNA from 1 species